GGCUGUAGCUCAGUGGCAGAGUGCUUGCCUAGCAUGCAUGAGGCAGCGAGUUCGAUACUCAGCACCA
rnacentral:tRNA from 1 species